AUAUAUAUAUAUAUAUCUCCACCUUGGUGUUGUGGCUUUCAGGUUAACUUCAGCAAAAGUUUCGCCGGAUGCGUUAGGCACGGUUCUGAGAUUGGAUUCUUUCAAUCCCCGUCCGUGCUCCGAGUAGAUGUCAGUUUCCAGGGAGAAUGCGAAUCGUCUGAGAUGUUGUCUGAGUGGCAGAAAAAAAAAAUCAAAGGGAGGAACAGUUUCUGGCUUCCUGAACAAAAGGGGAAAAAAUGGAACACUUUCACUUCGGAGAUGUACUUUUGCGUGUACGAAUUGCUCCUUGCCACAUGCAGGAACAAAACUGUUAACGUCACUGAAUUUUAGUGUGGAAAUCCUUUUGAAUUUCUGCUCAAAUCGUAGUGCUGAAGGAUACCGGAGGAACUAGCACAGCGUGGCUAUUUCAUUUUCACCAUGUUUAGUUAGCGUGCUAUUCUGAAUUUUUCAUGAAAAGUCUGUUUGGUAACUAGUGUCAUAUUAAAGGUUAAUCAUUUUCAUGGAUUACUAGUUGCUACCACAUCUACAGUUUUAUCUCUGAGAAAAUAUCAGCUUGAUUGUGAACAGUGCAUGCAGUUCUGCAUAUCCAUCUUGACCAGGUACAACCUGCCUCGGACAGAUUGUUAUGCAGAUAAAAUACUUUUUAGUAAGGGCAUGUCAUCUCAAUUAUCCUGAUCCACAAUAAAGCUGCUCCUUAAAUAAUUAUAACAUCCUCCAGGUGCAUGUAUCCCUGCAAACGAAAAGAGCCAUCAACGACUAGCCAAUGGAGUAUUCCUUCACCUACUACAGGCUCAAAUUCAACAUCGGUUGGCAAUGCAUGACUCGAGGAGGUCAAAAGUAAAGGAGCGAAAGGAACAAGACAAAGAAGAUACAGGUGUUUCACAUUCAUGCAAAAAGUGAUAUUGUUCUGAAUAUGAUUGUUCCUUUCGCUGCUAUACUUAGUUGAAAGAGAAAAGCAGAUAUAUGCAUAGCAGCGAAUAGGUGUUUCACAUUCAUGCAAAAGUGAUAUUGCUCUGAAUAUGAUUGUUCAGAACCCUGGACUUGAAACAAUGUCAACGUUGUUAUUCACAACCUAAAUUGUUUACCCAUAUGAAAUAAAUCAGAUAGAGGCUAGCUCUUUUCUUCACUGUA